UACGUAGGGUGCGAGCGUUGUCCGGAAUUAUUGGGCGUAAAGAGCUCGUAGGCGGUGUGUCGCGUCGGCCGUGAAAACCUGCAGCUUAACUGUGGGCUUGCGGUCGAUACGGGCAUCACUGGAGUUCGGCAGGGGAGACUGGAAUUCCGGGUGGAGUGGUGAAAUGCGUAGAGAUCCGGAGGAACACCAGAGGCGAAGGCGGCCUACUGGGUCAGUACUGACGCUGAGCCGCGAAAGCCAGGGGAGCAAACGGG
rnacentral:rRNA from 1 species